GAUGAAGAACGCAGCGAAAUGCGAUACUUGGUGUGAAUUGCAGAAUCCCGUGAACCAUCGAGUCUUUGAACGCAAGUUGCGCCCGAAGCCACUAGGCCGAGGGCACGCCUGCCUGGGCGUCACACGUCGUUGCCCCCCCAUCUACUCCUUCGGGAUUGCGGGGGGGCGGAUGAUGGCCUCCCGUGCGCCUAGCCGCGCGGUUGGCAUAAAUACCAAGUCCUCGGCGACGCACGCCACGACAAUCGGUGGUUGCGAAACCUCGGUUGCCCGUCGUGUGCGUUCGUCGCGCAUCGAGGGCUCGAAAAAAUGCCCGGCUUCGGCUCGGCUUUCAACGCGACCCCAGGUCAGGCGGGGUUACCCGCUGAAUUUAAGCAUAUCAAUAAGCGGAGGA
rnacentral:misc_RNA from 1 species